GGCACUGAGCAUGGUUGUUGCCAGUGCAUCUGCUCUGGCAGUGAUGGAAAUUUCACAGGAGACUUUGCUACAUCUGCCCUGGACAGAUCAACCCCAGAUUUCUUAUUAGCUGUCCUGCUUCAUCAGAUCUGGUGCUGAGACGCAACCUUGGAGACCCUCCGGCGGGAAGAGGGGAAAGAAGGAAAGAACCACAUCUCUCUUGCAGCUGCAGUGACCUGUUCCCCUGGCAGGAGGGCGAGUCUGCUCCCCCGUUGGCAACUGAGCAGAUGCCCAGUGAGAUCCUCAGAGGCUGGUGAAGCUCCGCUGAUGCCCGUCUGGCUCUGGACUGACCUCAGUGGGACUGUGCUGGCUUCUGCCGGGAAAAAGGACCAAGGUUGUGAGCAGGAGUGGGCCGACACGGUUACUGUGGGAGUGCAGAGGGCCAUUUCCAUGGAAUUUCACCCCGAGAGGCCUGCUUCCCCUGGUCGCUUUUGAAGGCGAGCACGUGCUCCUCGGCGGCGGCCCCCGCUCGCUGAAGACGCUCGGCCUCUGCGCAAGGUUCUGCACGCGUGCAGGGCAGAGCCGGCGAGAGCCCAGGUAAUCUGCUCUGCCUCCGAAAGCCAUCCGGUCACCAGCCCUCGGCUACCCUUGACCCUGGCAGCAUCUUCAAAGGGAGCAUGGGCCUGCUGCGGAGCGUGCAAUGUUUGCUCGCUUAUCGGGCGAGCAGCUACCGCCUCCCUGCUUUGGGGGGUUUCGUCAGCCUCCUGCAGCACUCCAGGGGAGACCAGUCAGCCACCGCUGCUUGU